ACCUGCUAGCCUGGCAUGUGCUGCGUGAGAUGCGCUUCAGCUCCACUCCCAGGAAAACGUUCCGAAACUGGAGCUGGCUGCCUCAUACAAAGGCAACUGCAGGGAGAGUUUGAUUAAGUGUCCCGGGAAAAUUGAAGCACAAGGAACAAGCACUUCCUUCGCAGCUCGGAAAUUGGGAUUAAGGGGCAAAAAAGGUUCUGAUUGCACUCUGGGAAGGGUUUAGCCCAAUCACGAAGAGUAACAGGAGAGAAAAGCUAAGGAAGUGAAGCAAAGACUGAGGAAGGUGAAGACUCGAGCCUGGCUGCCACCCCUCAGUGGGCCUCGCGGCUACAAGGGGCACGGCAGCGUAGAUUCAAGGAUAAAAAGGGAAAGCCCAACAAACGAACUGUUAACUAAUUCUCAGAAUAAGAACGGCAUCCAAUUCCUAACGACAUAAGAUGCGGAUGCUUCAGCUCCAGAGACCGCCUGCAGUUCUGUCAUCUUCUGGUCGUUUAACACCAACAUCAGUCUAUUUUACGCUUUGGUUACCUGGACACUUGUCACUUCAGAGAAAUUCACUAUGAUUGAGAAUCACUGAGAUUGGGUUCCAGGCUUUGUAGCCCAGAAGAACAAAUAUCCUGGCUUCCCAUGGAUGUGUUCUUUUUUAUCCUGGGAAUUUUCUAGCAACAUCAAAAUGGGCCUAAUCGGUUUUGUUUUUCAUAAGCAAUCAAGUUUUCAGGACAACUAGAGGCAUCAAGAGUGCAGCAAUUAUAAUAAACACAGAUUGAGACUCUUUAGUGGCCAAGUCAUAUCUGGAAAAAACUACAGAACUGGGCAAAGUUUGAUGCAGGACAGCCAGUGAUGGAUCGUUAGUCUAUGGCGUAGAGCAGUGGUUUUCAAGGUGGAGUCCCUGCAUCCGCACCACCUGGGAACUUGUUAACUAGUUAGACACGCAGAAUCUCAGGCUUCAUCCCAGUUCUUCGAAUCAGAAACUCUGGGGUAGAACACAGCAAUCUGCGUUUAACAAGCCCUCCAGAGGAUUACCAUUGGACUAACGUUUGAGAAUCGCUGCUCUGGAUCAAUGGUCCUUUCCUGAAAUUCAAGAACUGGGGGUGAGGGGCUGGGCAUGUGACCUCAUGCCUCCUACACUUUUCAAGGGAAUUAGUCUAAAGCUUUCAUUAGAUUCUCAGAAGAAUUUGUGAUCCAGAAUGUGAAAAAAGUAAAAACAACCCACAGAUGCAAUAGCCACCAGAACAACAACAAGGACAUAACAUUCUAGACAGUUGGGAACCUCUCUGCCUCAAGGUCCCCAGUGAUUCUGUGUGGUUGGAAUGACAGCUUUGGAUGCCUGAUGUAACAGCUUGUGACGAUUGAUUGCAUUAAAGUCCUCAGUGAUUGGCCUCCCUGCACCCUGCAGAUGGAAGACCUGUGGAGGAGGGAUCUCUGCUCUCUUGGCCUGCCCAGCAUUCCCUCUCCCUUCUAGUAAGACUAUCUCCCAAUUUGGGGGCUAAGCCCACCCUCCAACUCCACGUGAUACUAGAGGAGCUGUUCAUUACUGUCUCCCAUCUUCCUGGCCACAGGAAUGACCAUAUGGUUUCCAAAAAUAGCACUCCAUCAAUUUGGUCCAAGUGACUGGCCAAGGGAUGUUCACUUGACCCAGAAUGGCCCAAAGGAGGCCUUUCCUGAAAUUUUACAUGCAAAUGCUUAGCGACAAGAAGUGUCCCCUUUCCUCAAACAUUACUAAGCUGAGUUGAUGUGAGCCUGUAUCUGUGUGUAAUGCACCUGUUGUUUCCCCAACACAUGGAGGAGACCAAAUGUAUUAAGAGAAUGAGCCCACCAAAAAUCACAAGGAAAAAAAGGCAGAGAGCUAGUGGACUUGUUCUCAUAGAGAGAGAGAAUAUGUGUGUUUUGUUUUUUUAAUUUUAUUGUAGAGUUCUGUGAGUUGGCAAGUGUAUGCAGUUGUGCACUCACCGCCACAAUCAGGCUAUGGAAUAGUUCCAUCACCCCUAAAAUUCCCACACGUCCUCUUGCGGUCAACUAUCCCCGUAGGUCGUGGCAGCCAUGGAUGUUUUCUGUCUCUGCAGUUUGCCCUUUGCAAAAAUACCAUAUAAAUGGAAUCAUAUAGUAU
ensembl:lncRNA